rnacentral:rRNA from 1 species
GAUGAACGCUGGCGGCGUGCCUAAUACAUGCAAGUCGAGCGAACAGACGAGGAGCUUGCUCCUCUGACGUUAGCGGCGGACGGGUGAGUAACACGUGGAUAACCUACCUAUAAGACUGGGAUAACUUCGGGAAACCGGAGCUAAUACCGGAUAAUAUAUUGAACCGCAUGGUUCAAUAGUGAAAUACGGUUUUGCUGUCACUUAUAGAUGGAUCCGCGCCGCAUUAGCUAGUUGGUAAGGUAACGGCUUACCAAGGCAACGAUGCGUAGCCGACCUGAGAGGGUGAUCGGCCACACUGGCACUGAAACACGAUCCAGACUCCUACGGGAGGCAGCAGUAGGGAAUCGGCCGCAAUGGGCGAGAGCAUUGCGGAGCAGCGCCACGUGAGUGAUGAAGGUCUUCGGAUCGUAAAACUCUGUUAUUAGGGGAGAACAAAUGUGUAAGUAACUAUGCACGUCUUGACGGUACCUGAUCAGAAAGCCACGGCUAACUACGUG